GAAUAGAAUAGAAUAUUAAUGUAGAAUAUUCUCAAAAAAAAGUAAAAUUGCAAACAUACUUCCACUAGUAGAGAGAAUCCUACAAGAGAAGUGAGCCCGCCAAGUCGUUCGAGAGUGUUUAACACAUCAAUAUCAACAGCGGUUGCCCGACCAGCUUUAUCCGACAUGUUAACGUUACGUGCAACAAGAGUAGCACAACUUCCAACAGUUUCUAUGGUUAAUGGUAUGUUGGACCACGACCAGGCUGGAUCCAAUGGUCUA